CAGGGCAAGGAAUGCCUGCAGCCCAGGAUUCCUCCUAAGCUGUGUCCCAUCUGUGCCGGACCCCACUGGAAAUCAGACUGUUCAACUCACCUGGCAGCCACUCCCAGAGCUCCUGGAACUCUGGCCCAAGGCUCUCUGACUGCUUCCCAGAUCUUCUUGGCUUAGCAGCUGAAGACUGACACUGCCCGAUCGCCUCGGAAGCCCCCUAGACCAUCACGGACGCUGAGCUUCAGGUAACUCUCACAGUGGAGGGUACACAUCCAGAUGGCCGGUUCCUGCCUUAACUGCUGACAUUCCACCACAAAAGAAGUGAAAAUGGCCUGUUCCUGCCUUAACUGAUGACAGAUUGUCUUGUGAAAUUCCUUCUCCUGGCUCAUCCUGGCUCAAAAGCUCCCCCACUGAGUACCUUGUGACCCCCACUCUGCCCACCAGAGAACAAUCCCCUUUCGACUGUAAUUUUCCUUUACCUACUGAAAUCCUAUAAAAUAGCCCCACCCCUAUCUCCCUUCGCUGACUCUCUUUUCGGGCUCAGCCCGCCUGCACCCAGGUGAAAUAAACAGCUUUAUUGCUCA
rnacentral:lncRNA from 1 species